rnacentral:rRNA from 1 species
GGAUGCGAUCAUACCAGCACUAAAGCACCAGAUCCCAUCAGAACUCCGAAGCUAAGCGUGCUUGGGUGAGAGUAGUACUAGGAUGGGUGACCUCUUGGGAAGUCCUCGUGUUGCAUUCC